rnacentral:sRNA from 1 species
UGUUGAGAGCAGAUUGGACCUGAGGAAGAAUCUGCGCUGCCAGAGCUUCAAGUGGUACCUGGAGAAUGUCUACCCUGAACUCAGUGGACUCUCCUCUCUCCCUGUGACUCUCCUCCAGCAUCCCCAAGGAGUCCUCCAUCCAGAAGGGCAAUAUCCGACAGAGACAGAAGUGCCUGGAAUCUCAAAGGCAGAACAACCAAGAAACCCCAAACCUAAAGUUGAGCCCCUGUGCCAAGGUCAAAGGCGAAGAUGCAAAGUCCCAGGUAUGGGCCUUCACAUACACCCAGCAGAUCCUCCAGGAGGAGCUGUGCCUGUCAGUCAUCACCUUGUUCCCUGGCGCCCCAGUGGUUCUUGUCCUUUGCAAGAAUGGAGAUGACAGACAGCAAUGGACCAAAACUGGUUCCCACAUCGAGCACAUAGCAUCCCACCUCUGCCUCGAUACAGAUAUGUUUGGUGAUGGCACCGAGAAUGGCAAGGAAAUCGUUGUCAACCCAUGUGAGUCCUCACUCAUGAGCCAGCACUGGGACAUGGUGAGCUCUUGAGGACCCCUGCCAGAAGCAGCGAGGGCCAUGGGGUGGUGCUUCCCUGGACCAGAACAGACUGGAAACUGGGCAGCAAGCAGCCCGCAACCACCUCAGACAUCCUGGACUGGGAGGUGGAGGCAGAGCCCCCCAGGACAGGAGCAACUGUCUCAGGGAGGACAGAGGAAAACAUCACAAGCCAAUGGGGCUCAAAGACAAAUCCCACAUGUUCUCAAGGCCGUUAAGUUCCAGUCCUGGCCAUUCUUUCCCUGUUUGGUAUCUGGAGACAGAAAGCUAACGGGAAGUGUUUAUUGUUCCUUUUC